UGGGGUAUCGCCAAGCGGUAAGGUUUUGAUCCUGGCAUUCCCAGGUUCGAAUCCUGGUACCCAGCCA
rnacentral:tRNA from 1 species